rnacentral:snoRNA from 1 species
UACAAUCUAUGAUGAAGCCAUAUAAUAGAUACUGACUUUCCCGUGAUUAUCUCCAAAAUAUUCACCAUCUUUCGGCUGAGAUUGUU